rnacentral:rRNA from 1 species
AGUGAACGCUGGCGGUAGGCCUAACACAUGCAAGUCGAACGGCAGCACAGUAAGAGCUUGCUCUUACUGGUGGCGAGUGGCGGACGGGUGAGGAAUACAUCGGAAUCUACUUUUUCGUGGGGGAUAACGUAGGGAAACUUACGCUAAUACCGCAUACGACCUGCGGGUGAAAGCAGGGGAUCUUCGGACCUUGCGCGAUUCAAUGAGCCGAUGUCGGAUUAGCUAGUUGGCGGGGUAAAGGCCCACCAAGGCGACGAUCCGUAGCUGGUCUGAGAGGAUGAUCAGCCACACUGGAACUGAGACACGGUCCAGACUCCUACGGGAGGCAGCAGUGGGGAAUAUUGGACAAUGGGCGCAAGCCUGAUCCAGCCAUACCGCGUGGGUGAAGAAGGCCUUCGGGUUGUAAAGCCCUUUUGUUGGGAAAGAAAAGCAGCAGGUUAAUACCCCGCUGUUCUGACGGUACCCAAAGAAUAAGCACCGGCUAACUUCGUG